UUUUUCAUAAUUUGUUUAUAAUAGUUUAGAUUGUAUAGCUAUUAUAAAAUAUAUUAUUAAAGGUAUCAAUAUUACAUAUGUGGCAUUGAAGUUAUUAGAAGCUGAUAUUUUACAUUUUAAAUUUUUAAAGCAAUACAAGAUUAAACUUAGCAGAAGGCUAAACUUCUGCUCUGGAG